AGUUGCCCUGAUCGAAGCCAUGCUAGACGUUUUAAUGCUAGGCGUGGUCAAAACAGGGCAGAGAUGAACCAUUUUCUCAUUGGUCGCUGGGCUGACCAAUCCCGUGUCACCUUAGCAUUACCCAGGGAAAAGACACUU
rfam:Branchiostoma floridae genomic scaffold BRAFLscaffold_146, whole genome shotgun sequence.